rnacentral:rRNA from 1 species
UCGGGAAUUUUGGGCAAUGGGGGAAACCCUGACCCAGCAACGCCGCGUGAAGGAUGAAGUAUUUCGGUAUGUAAACUUCGAAAGAAUAGGAAGAAUAAAUGACGGUACUAUUUAUAAGGUCCGGCUAACUACGUGCCAGCAGCCGCGGUAAUACGUAGGGACCAAGCGUUGUUCGGAUUUACUGGGCGUAAAGGGCGCGUAGGCGGCAUGACAAGUCACUUGUGAAAUCUCUGGGCUUAACCCGGAACGGUCAGAUGAUACUGCUUUGCUAGAGUGCAGAAGGGGCAAUCGGAAUUCUUGGUGUAGCGGUGAAAUGCGUAGAUAUUCGCAGGAACACCAGUGGCGAAGGCGACUUGCUGGACUUAUGGUGACGCUGAGACGCGAAAGCGUGGGGAGCAAACAGGAUUAGAUACCCAAGUAGUCCCUGAGCGGGCUGGCAAGGCGCAU